rnacentral:rRNA from 1 species
UGGGGAAUAUUGCACAAUGGGCGCAAGCCUGAUGCAGCCAUGCCGCGUGUAUGAAGAAGGCCUUCGGGUUGUAAAGUACUUUCAGCGAGGAGGAAGGCGUUGUGGUUAAUAACCGCAGCGAUUGACGUUACUCGCAGAAGAAGCACCGGCUAACUCCGUGCCAGCAGCCGCGGUAAUACGGAGGGUGCGAGCGUUAAUCGGAAUUACUGGGUGUAAAGCGCACGCAGGCGGUCUGUCAAGUCGGAUGUGAAAUCCCCGGGCUCAACCUGGGAACUGCAUCCGAAACUGGCAGGCUAGAGUCUUGUAGAGGGGGGUAGAAUUCCAGGUGUAGCGGUGAAAUGCGUAGAGAUCUGGAGGAAUACCGGUGGCGAAGGCGGCCCCCUGGACAAAGACUGACGCUCAGGUGCGAAAGCGUGGGGAGCAAACA